GGGGGUAUAGCUCAGCUGGGAGAGCAGCAGACUGAAGAGAUUCAUACCUUUACAUUCUGAAGGUCCCGCGUUCGAUCCGCGGUACCCCCA